AAAGAGUUAGAUGCAACUGAGCGACUAACACAGUUCCCACUCAUUAACUUAUGAAAUUACCCAGCCCAUAAAAGCUAACCACACCGUAUUUCAAGGCCGCUCUUGCCCUCUGCAACAGCCCACACUCUGUGGACUGUAUUUCAAACAAAUCCUCUUCUUUGCUCUCAGGAGUUCUGGGCUGCAGUGCGCUAUGCCGAUCGGGUGUCCGCACUGAGUUCGGCAUCAAUAUGGUGACCUCCCGGGAGCGGGGGACCACCAGGUUGCCUAAGGAGGGGUGAACCGGCCCAGGUCGGAAACGGAGCAGGUCAAAA